GCCACCUACCAUAUGGCAGACAAGAGGCGAGGCACUGGUGAGCAGCUGAUGAGUAAAUCAGACCCUUUCCUGUCCUUGUGCUGGAAAUUAAGACACCAAGAUCCCAAGCUUGAUGGCAGUGGAUGCAUAUGAAGGAGACUUCUGAUGGCUCCGAGGACAGCGGGAAACACAGAUGCUGGUAACCGUCUUUGAUUACUUAAGAAAACCCAGCCUCCUCAAUAUUAAAAGAGGGGCAUUUGCAUUUCACUCUUGAUCACUGGCACCACUGCCACAUUAUAAGCUGUGGAAACUUGGGUGCAUCUUCCCGGGUAAAGAAGGCUCUACCUGACUUCUGGUCCUCUGCAAAAACAGGGAGACCUCAAAAUCACACAGAAUUUAGAGAAAUGAAUCUUGAACCAGUCCACUGGGAAUUGCUGCAUCAGCACUAGUUAGGUCAUCUGGCUGAUUGACCCCUGUCGUCCCCUAAAGGAAAGUUGUAAGGCCAACUGACUGGUGCGGAAACCCGGGAGGGGUACCAAGCCGCGCGGGCCGCCCCUCCCCCAGGAGACAACAGGGAACCUCUACUCAUCCACCCGAUCCGGCAGAAAACGGGCCCUGUCCCAGCUGCGGGCCACUGGAAGAGCGACUGCCCUACGACUGGCCCUCCCUCAGCAUCUCCACGCGGGAGGCGGGCCGACCCAAUGGCAUUACCA